rnacentral:snRNA from 1 species
AGUUUUGCACAAUGGCAGUAUCGUAGCCAGUGAGGUUUAUCUGAGAUUGCUAAUUGAAAAGUUUCCCUAAUACCCCAACAUGACAACUUGAAGUAUAGUCGGCAUUGGCAAUUUUUGACAGUCUCUACGGAGA